UACGUAGGGGGCAAGCGUUGUCCGGAAUCAUUGGGCGUAAAGAGCGUGUAGGCGGCUCGGUAAGUCCGCUGUGAAAGUCCAGGGCUCAACCCUGGAAUGCCGGUGGAAACUGUCGAGCUAGAGUCCGGAAGAGGCGAGUGGAAUUCCUGGUGUAGCGGUGAAAUGCGCAGAUAUCGGAAGGAACACCAGUGGCGAAAGCGGCUUCCUGGUCCAGCACCGACGUUCAGGCACGAAAGCGUGGGGAGCAAACAGG
rnacentral:rRNA from 1 species